rnacentral:rRNA from 1 species
UAGGGAAUCUUCCGCAAUGGACGAAAGUCUGACGGAGCAACGCCGCGUGAGCGAAGAAGGCCUUCGGGUCGUAAAGCUCUGUUGUUAGGGAAGAACAAGUACGAGAGUAACUGCUCGUACCUUGACGGUACCUAACCAGAAAGCCACGGCUAACUACGUGCCAGCAGCCGCGGUAAUACGUAGGUGGCAAGCGUUGUCCGGAAUUAUUGGGCGUAAAGCGCGCGCAGGCGGUCCUUUAAGUCUGAUGUGAAAGCCCACGGCUCAACCGUGGAGGGUCAUUGGAAACUGGGGGACUUGAGUGCAGAAGAGGAGAGUGGAAUUCCACGUGUAGCGGUGAAAUGAGUAGAGAUGUGGAGGAACACCAGUGGCGAAGGCGACUCUCUGGUCUGUAACUGACGCUGAGGCGCGAAAGCGUGGGGAGCAAACAGGAUUAGAUACCCUGGUAGUCCACGCCGUAAACGAUGAGUGCUAAGUGUUAGAGGGUUUCCG